GCGGACGUAGCGCAGUUGGCUGUGCCUUCGGCAGCGCUUCGCGCUGGUGCGACACCUUGCCAAGGUGUAGGUCGCCGGUUCGAUCCCGGUCGUCCGCUCAA
rnacentral:tRNA from 1 species